AUUGAACGCUGGCGGCAGGCCUAACACAUGCAAGUCGAACGAGUGGCGGACGGGUGAGUAAUGUCUGGGACACUGCCCUAUGGAGGGGGAUAACUACUGGAAACUGUAUCUAAUACCGUAUACCAUCAUAUGUCCCUAUAUGGGAUUAGCUAGUAGGUGGGGUAACGGCUCACCAAGGCGACGAUCCCUAGCUGGUCUGAGAGGAUGACCAGCCACACUGGAACUGAGACACGGUCCAGACUCCUACGGGAGGCAGCAGUGGGGAAUAUUGCACAAUGGGCGCAAGCCUGAUGCAGCCAUGCCGCGUGUAUGAAGAAGGCCUUAGGGUUGUAAAGUACUUUCAGUGGGGAGGCGUUACCGGCAGAAGAAGCACCGGCUAACUCCGUGCCAGCAGCCGCGGUAAUAC
rnacentral:rRNA from 1 species